rnacentral:rRNA from 1 species
UACGUAGGGUGCAAGCGUUGUCCGGAAUUAUUGGGCGUAAAGAGCUCGUAGGCGGUCUGUUACGUCGGCUGUGAAAACCUGGGGCUCAACCCCGGGCCUGCAGCCGAUACGGGCAGACUAGAAUUCGGUAGGGGAGACUGGAAUUCCUGGUGUAGCGGUGAAAUGCGCAGAUAUCAGGAGGAGCACCGGUGGCGAAGGCGGGUCUCUGGGCCGAUAUUGACGCUGAGGAGCGAAAGCGUGGGAGCGAACAGG